rnacentral:rRNA from 1 species
UACGGGGGGAGCAAGCGUUGUUCGGAUUUACUGGGCGUAAAGGGCGCGUAGGCGGUCAGCACAAUUCAGUUGUGAAAUCCCUCGGCCUAACCGAGGAACUGCGCCCGAUACUGCGAUGCUUGAGGACCAGAGGGGUGCAUGGAAUUUCCGGUGGAGCGGUGAAAUGCGUUGAUAUCGGAAGGAACUCCGGCGGCGAAAGCGAUGCACUGGCUGGUUUCUGACGCUGAGGUGCGAAAGCCAGGGGAGCAAACGGG